rnacentral:misc_RNA from 1 species
UUCCACAUUGCAUGCAUAAUUUCACUACAAAGCAUUGACACCAAUUUCAGUGAUGAAUGAUCCUUAAUUCAUCAUAAAAUAGCAUUUAUUUAAGUCUAGAAAUCUUUCCUUCCUAAUUUAUUAAUUAAACAUGUCGACACAGGGUUCUAAGCCCAGUAGGCAUUUGCAUGCAGGGUGUGUGGGCGUGUUAGAGAUAUAAACUAUUCUUGUAACUCUCAUCUAUCAGCUUGAACUUUCAAAUUGGACGGUUUCUUGACAAAUUAAAUAUGUGGGUGCAAAUAAUUAAAGAAAUAUUAUGUGAACUAAGCUGUAACUUUUAAUAUACAACCUAUAUAUGGAGCUAUCACAUAUUUAAAUACUUAGCUGACAACUAAAAGGGUUUGGUAUUUUGGUGGAGCCAAGAUUUGUGGAAGAUCGGAUGGCAAUCAUGUGGACUGUGGAAAUACAAAAGAUGAAAUGGUAACAAACUUGUUAACAGUCAAAACCAACCACAGAAUGAGAUGCGACUCUCACCUAACCACCAAAAUAUUUUUUUUCCUGUACAGUAAUAUUGACUAAUAUAUGUGGUAAACCAAUGAGAUCUCACCUGAAUUUAAUUACUUAGGCAAAUGGUUAUAGACUUAAUAAAGAAAUGCAAAUCCAUUUCUUUACUAGUUGAACAGUAAUAUAGCAGUUAAAGAAAGAAGGAAAACACUUACACAGUAACAGCAUGACCACCAAA